rnacentral:tRNA from 1 species
GUGGCAGUAGCUAAGUGGUCUAGCUCCCGGUUCGUACGCGGGAAGACCUGGGUUCGAUUCCCCGCUGCCUCC